GCUUCCCCAGGUCGCGGCGGCGGGAGCAACAAGCAGCGGCUCGUGAGUCCGCGGCUCGCACCCAGGGGCGCCCGCACGUGCGGCUAGAACGUCCGAGUCGGGGUCCGGGGCGGGGGGCGCAGGCCCGCGGCGGUAGGGGAGGAGAGCGGGCACCCGAGUCUCCAUCCUCAGGGUGGCCUGAAGGUUCCAGGAGGGCGUCCGGCGAAGGCACGGGGCUGCGACCAUCCAGUUAGCAGGGCUGGUGUGACUGUUGAGAGUAAAUGAAAAUUCGUUUUGUGACACCGACCACCUCCAAGGAAUGAAAGGAGCAGUCAGCCGAAACGACAGCAUUACUUGCGUCCUUACCUAAUUGGAACCUUAUCCGUGGCUGAGGGUGCCACCAUUGGAGGGGCCGCCGCCCCCUCUGACACCACCUGGCGCUCCGCUCCAUUUAGGAGCUAGAACGAAAAGGAGGCCCAUCCCCCAGUAAGUCACAGCCCACGCCAAGAUGAGUUCUGGAGCCUGUGCGACCGAAGUUUCUUCACCGCAGGGCGAGGUGGACAAGGGUGUGAGUUACUUUGACUUCAAGACGUCUCAGUGGCGGCUGGUUCUGGAGAGAGGCUUUAUGCUGGAGCACUUCCAGCAAAGUUCGGCUGGGGCCUCCUUAACUCACUGGCUGGUCACCCUUGGCCUCGGUUUUCAACCAAAGCCUAAGGCCUCAGUUUUCAACGCUGUAAAUGGAAAUAAAUGAGAGAAGAAAGUACAGCCCGUGUGACAAGUGCAGCAAGCAAUGCAACUUCCUUGGGACCUACCCUUUGUGGUCCCUUGCUUUAAAAGUAUAGAUUCACAUUUAGUUAGACCUGUUUCUUCCUCGCAUGCAAUUUCACCAGUCUUUUCCCAGACUUCUGUACUCAACAGAGGAAGUUCCUUCCUGGGAGACCAUAGCUGUUUGUAUGUAAAGAGUUGCGAAAAAACAAAAGCAAAACAAAAAACUCCAACACCUCUCUGUCACAGAAGUAUUGAAUUAUAUAGACUGGAAAAAUGGAAGUAUCCAAGAAAACGCGUGUGAAGAAACUGUUAGAGCACCCUGGGAUGUGUGGGCCUGGGACUGUUUGCCUUUGGCACGGCUAUGCUCCGAGCUUUGGAGGAGCCAAGGAAGAAAGGCCUAGUUCCUGAUCUUAAGGCCUUUGCAGUGUGCAUUGGGAGACAUAGACUGCAAUGAAAAGAUCAUUAUUGCAAGAGACAAAUGGCAUGGAGCCACAUUCCCAGAGACAGAGUUUCACCAUGUUGCCCAGGCUGGUCUCAAACUCCUGAGCUCAAACCAUCACCCACCUCGGCUUCCCAAAGUGCUGGGAUUACAGGCGUGAGCCACCACAUCUGACCGCGGGAGUCCUUUUACCCAAAGCCACCCAACAGACCCACGCAGAGACUUUUAACCAGCAAUCGUCUCAGUUCCCUCUGAGGCUGCCGGCUCUCCCUGUGACAGCAGCCCAUCUUAGCCCUUCCUGUGUAUCUCUGCUGCCUAAAGGAUGAGAGUUUCCUAAAGUGUAGAACUGUGAGGGGUGGAGGGACAUUCCUCUCAUGCUGGCCUGAAUCCUGCACCUACUCUGGAGGUCUUUUGCCUUGUACCAUGGAGUUCGCCUACAUCACCUUGGAGAACCGACCCAGCACCUUCCAGGCCGGCUGGAUGCAUCCCCAGGAAGGAAGCCGCUGGUGGGGCCGGUCGCACUGAGUGCGCUUGGAGAACAAAGUGCUGUGUACAUUUCUGCUCAACACUACUCUAAGCCCACAGCGCCAGUUCAGAGGCUUUGGGAAGAGCAGGUGCCUUCAUCCAGUUUCCACUGUACCUCUUCUGAGGUACAGGAGAUAGAGGUCCCUCAUUUCAAGGUGACACUGGCAUCAGUCAAGCACAGAGCUAACCAACUGCCAAUCGUAAACAAGGAAGCCAGUGAGGACGCCCAAGGAAAGGCUCAGAAAGCUUCCGCCAGGGAGUGGGAUUUGAGCUCUACCUUACAGAACAGGUUGAAAAUAAAGAGCAGAGUAAUCAAAAGUAGAUUUAUGUGUGUAUAUGUAUCUGUUGCUAAUAUCCAGCCUUAAAAAUCCUUGACAGUGGCCUUCAGACUUAAACAUCUUCUCACUCCACCGAGAGCACCAAUCUGACAAACGCAUUCGGUCCUCUAGUCCAAUCCAGCUCAGUUUUCAAGCCAAGGGGAUUUUGCUGAAUUAUAUAUUCAAGAUAUCAGUAGAGUUAUAAAAGAAGGGUUGUUUCCCAGUUAAAUUAGGGAUGGUAGGAGGAAUCCUAGAUCCAACAUGUGGAAGAAAUAUGUGCAUUUAAUCAAAUCUCUAAGACAGCUCUUCAGCCUCUGAAAGCAUAGAUGGAAAACUAUCUCCUUGUGAUACUUUAACAGAUUCCUUAGGAACGAAAGAGAAAAGUUACAGUCAGUAACUUUUCAUGUCAGUGCCCGCAGACAUGAAUUCCUUGGCCCCUCUUAUAGCAUUCAUCAGUGGAUGGGCUGACGUAAUGACAGGCUCACUCAUUCAUGGUCACAUGCAGGAUGUACGGAAGAGUAGCUUCAAGUUAUUUGUUUUGUUUUUGGUUUUUUGUUUUUUUGAGACAGAGUCUCACUCUGUCGCCCAGGCUGGAGUGCAAUGGCACCAUUUUGGCUCACCGCAAGCUCCAUC
rnacentral:lncRNA from 1 species